rnacentral:rRNA from 1 species
AGUGAACGCUGGCGGUAGGCCUAACACAUGCAAGUCGAACGGCAGCACAGAGGAGCUUGCUCCUUGGGUGGCGAGUGGCGGACGGGUGAGGAAUACAUCGGAAUCUACUCUGUCGUGGGGGAUAACGUAGGGAAACUUACGCUAAUACCGCAUACGACCUACGGGUGAAAGCAGGGGACCUUCGGGCCUUGCGCGAUUGAAUGAGCCGAUGUCGGAUUAGAUAGUUGGCGGGGGAAAGGCCCACCAAGGCGACGAUCCGUAGCAGGUCUGAGAGGAUGAUCAGCCACACUGGAACUGAGACACGGUCCAGACUCCUACGGGACGCAGCAGUGGGGAAUAUUGGACAAUGGGCGCAAGCCUGAUCCAGCCAUACCGCGUGGGUGAAGGAGGCCUUCGGGUUGUAAAGCCCUUUUGUUGGGAAAGAAAUCCAGCUGGCUAAUACCCGGUUGGGAUGACGGUACCCAAAGAAUAAGCACCGGCUAACUUCGUGCCAGCCGCCGCGGUAA